rnacentral:lncRNA from 1 species
AAAAAUGUAGACUGGAAUUUUGAAUAGAAAAACUGGAUUUUGACAAUCAAAAUUUCAGACUUGAGGGAGAGAGUUAAGGAUCAAGGCUGAGGUUUUUCUAUCUAAAAAAACUUCAGAUAGAGAGUGACAUUAAGGCUAAGGUUUUCUGCCGAAUUUUUAGAAUAUAGAGUGUCUGGUAGAGCUUUCUUUCAAGCUUCAGCUUGUUUGUUUUCUUGGAAUAUUCACAAGCAAAAAUACCACUUUCCUUGCACCUACCUCACUUUCACUUUAACUGUGAGUGCAUCUUGUGUACUAGUGGACUUUUGGUGUGAAGUUCUUAGGAUUUCUGUUUGUAUUUGCC